rnacentral:rRNA from 1 species
GGCUCAGAUUGAACGCUGGCGGCAUGCCUUACACAUGCAAGUCGAACGGCAGCGCGGACUUCGGUCUGGCGGCGAGUGGCGAACGGGUGAGUAAUACAUCGGAACGUACCCUGUUGUGGGGGAUAACUAGUCGAAAGAUUAGCUAAUACCGCAUACGACCUGAGGGUGAAAGUGGGGGACCGCAAGGCCUCACGCAGCAGGAGCGGCCGAUGUCUGAUUAGCUAGUUGGUGGGGUAAAGGUCCACCAAGGCGACGAUCAGUAGCUGGUCUGAGAGGACGAUCAGCCACACUGGGACUGAGACACGGCCCAGACUCCUACGGGAGGCAGCAGUGGGGAAUUUUGGACAAUGGGGGCAACCCUGAUCCAGCAAUGCCGCGUGUGUGAAGAAGGCCUUCGGGUUGUAAAGCACUUUUGUCCGGAAAGAAAUCGCGCUGGUUAAUACCUGGCGUGGAUGACGGUACCGGAAGAAUAAGCACCGGCUAACUACGUGCCAGCAGCCGCGGUAAUACGUAGGGUGCGAGCGUUAAUCGGAAUUACUGGGCGUAAAGCGUGCGCAGGCGG